AUUGAACGCUGGCGGCAGGCCUAACACAUGCAAGUCGAACGAGUGGCGGAAGGGUGAGUAAUGUCUGGGAAACUGCCCGAUGGAGGGGGAUAACUACUGGAAACGGUAGCUAAUACAGCAUACCAUCGGAUGUGCCCAGAUGGGAUUAGUUAGUAGGUGGGGUAACGGCUCACCUAGGCGACGAUCCCUAGCUGGUCUGAGAGGAUGACCAGCCCCACCGGAACUGAGACACGGUCCAGACUCCUACGGUAGGCAGCAGUGGGGAAUAUUGCCCAAUGGGCGCAAUCCUGAUGCAGCCAUGCCUCGUGUAUGAAGAAGGCCUUCGGAUUGUACAGUACUUUCAGCGAGGAGGCGUUACUCGCAGAAGAAGCACCGGCUAACUCCGUGCCAGCAGCCGCGGUAAUUC
rnacentral:rRNA from 1 species